GAAUAAGAAUGCAAACUGCAUAUUAGUUUCGACCUAAUUUCUUGGUAUAAAAUUACCCUUAUUUU
rnacentral:tRNA from 1 species